rnacentral:lncRNA from 1 species
GUCCUUUAUUUCCAACCAAGACUGGAGCCAUGAUUCAGAGGUUUCAUCGGUAUUGGAAAGCUGAAACUACAAGGAAGUGGCUGCUGAAUGUCCUCCUCACGCGCUCGCUCUCCACCUUCCGGGACAGAAGUUUCCCUGGAAACCCGCCGCGAUGGUGAAGCAGAUGGAGGGAGGCAGGGUGAAGAGCAAAGACCACAUGUUAUAAAACGGGAACACUUGCUUUUAUACAUCGAGUGUGCGUAGUUGGUGCCCCCUUCAUGGUUCCAAUCCUCCCGAUCGUUCGAUAGGCCCUCUGUGUACAGUACACUUGCCUCUGACUGAUUGUGCCUUCAAGGGAGGGCUCCUCCCAUGCCUGCCCCGGGUUUCUACGUGCCUCCAUCCUGCUUCAGCCUGGAACAUUCUAUUAAUACUUCUAGCAAGACUCGUUGCUCUUUUUGUUUUUAAAUCCUAAUCUUCCCCUCUCAGAUUAUCUUGAAAAGAAUCAGCAACGCUUGGGUGUGUCGCUUUGUACAUUGAACGGCUGUCUGGUCACCCUGAAGGUGAUGUGGUAGACACAAUAAAGCAACCCCACUGAUCUAUAUCCUUGUAUAAUCUUG